UACGGAGGGUGCGAGCGUUGUCCGGAAUCACUGGGCGUAAAGGGUGCGUAGGCGGUUCCGCAAGUCCUGUGUGAAAUCUUCGGGCUCAACUCGAAGUCUGCACGGGAAACUGCGGGGCUUGAGUGUGGGAGAGGUGAGUGGAAUUCCCGGUGUAGCGGUGAAAUGCGUAGAUAUCGAGAGGAACACCGGCGGCGAAGGCGGCCAACUGGACGAGUACUGACGCUGAGACACGAAAGCGUGGGGAGCAAACAGG
rnacentral:rRNA from 1 species